UUUUAUCACUCAACAAUCACAUUGACAUAAGAACUCACAAAAAAAAAUGACACUGGCCAGUAACGAUACGUUGUCAACAAUAAAAAAAAACAUUUUUUUUGUAACAUGAUUGACGUUUCUGUAUUUUUCUCGUAAAUACAAUUUGCAUGAACAUGAAUAUUAAGUUGAAAGACGCUGAAAUAAAAGUGGAAAUUGUGAGGUUGGACUCUGAAAUGGAACAAUUACGGAAUUCCGCUUCGGUAUUAUACGACAUAUUGACGACGGGUAACGGUGAUACUUUCGAAGGGCAUCAAUGUAUUCAGUGCAAUAAAACUUACAAAUCAGCGAGCACGCUUCGUAUGCACAUUAUGUUCAAACAUCCGGCCAAUCAAUCGCAGGCCUACUGUGAGCUAUGCAAGAAGUAUUAUUCUUCAAGGAUGAGCCUUCAAAAGCACUACCAGUACAUGCACAGAGUCACGUUCUACAUAGACACAUAGAAGAUGCGGAUAGAUGCUUCCUGUGCAGUAAAGUAUUCGCGAAUAAAGAAUAUUUGUGCAAGCAUUUAAUUAAAAAACAUUCAUUGUAAAUCUUUUGUAUACACUAUUUCUUGAACAACAAUUUUGUAAAUGGUCCAUGCUAGGUGCUUUAUUUAGAAAAAAACUGAUCUUCGUAAUCUGAAUUAUUAUGAACAUUAAUUUUUUAUUCAAUUUGUUUGUAAGAGUAAAACAAGUAAUAAAGUACAUUUAAUGCAGCUA